AUGCACCAGGCCGCGGUGCAGUUCAAGGGAGGGCGUGGUGAGUUACGCCGCUUCUGGUUCUUGGGAAGAGCCAUGCCUACGGAGAGGCAUGCUAUGCAGAUGGCAGCCCGCGAGGCGAUAGCUCGUCUCAGGGAUGUCCUCCCCGUGAUGAAGACUCGUCGUUACCGUUAUCUUCCAUGCCAUGUGCCUUACACCUGUCACUACGCAUUCUCCUGCCCCAGAGGAGAACGAGACGAGGCUUUUGAGAUGCUCAUUGAGUAUCUCCAGGCCCUGGAGGCAGCCUUCGACAACCUGGUGGACGACUUCGUGGUUGCCCGCAUGGACUCAGUUCAUGGCUGCGCUGCCAACAGGAGGGAGCUCCUACCCACCGCACCGCCACUGACUUUGGUCUCGUCCUCAGCAUCUUAUACGCCUACUCGUCGCCUACCUUCUACCGAAGAAUUCAACCAAGUCAUUGCGCCCACUCCAGCGCGCACUGCACCACCCUUCGCGCCCACUCCUGUUCGUGUUGUUCCGCCCCUGGCACCCGCUCCGUCCACUCUGCGCAACACUACACGUAUGGAGCCUAUUAGCGAGGAGGAAGUCGAGUCCCCAACCUCGCUACGCCUCGCCCUCGGCAGGGCAAAGGAGGUCAUCAACAUCUCCGCCUGA
rnacentral:rRNA from 1 species